AUUAUUAGAGAUAUGUGGGCCGUAAGAUGUGUAUCUUACGGACCAAGAUUGUGAAGCCCAUGAAACCCAUGAAGACCAUCAAGACUAAAAGGAAAGACUUGAAGAACAAGUUACUCUCAAGAUAUUCUAGCAUAUUUACAUUAAUUGUUUAGGAAAGUUAGCAUUAUCUAGUGUUAACAUUAUGUUAAUGUUACCACUAUAUAUAUGCAUAUUGUAUUCUCUUAUUAAACACAACACAAUAAUAUAUCUAUUCUAUUAUAUUUUACAUGGUAUCAGAGCAGACGAUUCUUUGGGAUCGAAAUUAAAACUUCCGCAUUAUAAGUUUAGAGCUUUGAUGACGUUCAUCGUUGGUGUUGGCGAUGUUGAAGAAGAUGGUGACGGUAAUGACGAUGAAGACGUGGUAAUAUGAGUCGCUGGGGUUUUGUGUUAUUAGGGUUUUGUUUUCUUUUUAUAUUUAGUUAAGUGCAAUAGGUUUUGUUCUACCUGCUUUGUUUUUGUUUAGAUUUUUUUUCUUAUGGUUUGGUCUAGGGGUUAUUGAGAGAUGUUUGAAAAGGUCCUUAGGUUAAAAGAUCGGGUUUUCACAGUUGUUUAUUUUUUUGAGAUCUAUUCUAUAGUUUAGAAUUUCUCAGAGUGUUUUGUUUCCCAUAGUUUGGGAUUUAUUGGUUAUAGUUUAACCAUUACGGGGGAGUUCUAGUAGAACGCUCAAUUUUUUUUUUUAGGUCAAGUUGUUUAGUCCGAGUUAUGGACUGUCCGAGUUAAGGACGAUUAUUUGUGGAGUUGUAGUUGCGCCCACGGGAUGUAUUCCCAUUGUCAAGACCAAAGAAAAGCUGAAGUUUUCAUCCCUCCUUGUCUAAAGUUGAAGUUUAUUCUCGGAGGAAUCUACUGAUUUGUUUUCCUCGACAUAGUGUCCACGACAUACGUGGUCUGCUUUGUGAUUGCAGAUUUGCGUGUUGCAUCCCACGUUUGUCGUGCGGGGGAGUAUUAGAGAUAUGUGGGCCGUAAGAUGUGUAUCUUACGGACCAAGAUUGUGAAGCCCAUGAAGACCAUCAAGAUUAAAAGGAAAGACUUGAAGAACAAGUUACUCUCAAGAUAUUCUAGCAUAUUUACAUUAAGUGUUUAGGAAAGUUAGCAUUAUCUAGUGUUAACAUUAUGUUAAUGUUACCACUAUAUAUAUGCAUAUUGUAUUCUCUUAUUAAACACAACACAAUAAUAUAUCUAUUCUAUUAUAUUUUACAACUAUCAAGAGAGUUCUGACGCAUGUUGUACAUCUAAUGGUGUCUUUGUUUUCCACUUGGUAUGCCAACUAAUUGUUACUCUAUGCCAUGUUUAUUUUUUAUCCACAAGCUGCAUCUGAAUGCUAAUAUUUAGAUGUUAUUUGUUUGGAUACUAUUACAUCGCAUCAAGAUGCAAAAUCUCGAAUAUCUAGAUAUUUGUUAUUCUAAAAAGUAUAGAAUUUGGAUGAUAUAUUUGUAUCUCAACUUCUCAAGAUCCAAAAGACCUAAAUACUUAAUACAAAUAUAAAAAAUUAAUUAAAUUAGUUCUUAUAAUUAUUGUAUAAUAUCGGAAAAUAAGUUUUUCUGCAAAAAUCUAAAUCACGUUUUCCCCCUACAACCAAAAAUCAUAAUUUUUCGCCAAAACCAGAAACUGUAAUUUCCGCCUAAACUAGAAAAUCAUUUUUAACGCAGAAACCGAAAAAUCGCGUCACGCCAAAACAAGAAAAUCAUAUUUUUCCUCCAAAACAAAAAAAUUACAUUUUUCCGCAAAAACUAGAUAAUCGCAAUUCUCCGUCAAAUAGGAAAAUUGUGUUUUCCAUCUAAACCAAAAAGUCAUGUUUUCUCCAAAAAAUCAGAAAUUUAUGUGUUUCCUGCCAAAAUCGGAAAAUCACAAUUUUGUGUCAAAAUCAGAAAAUCACAAUUUUCCCUCAAAAUCGGGAAAUCACAGUUUCUCGUCAAAUUGAAAAUUCGUGUUUCUCGUCAAAACCAGGAAAAAAAAUUUCCCGCCAAAACCGUAAAAUUGUGCCCUCCCCCCCCCCCCCCAAAAAAAACUAUAAAAUCACGUUUUUUGACCAAAAUUGGAAAACUGUAUUUUUGUCAAAACCGCAGAUUAUAUGUGUUUUCGGCAAAACUGCAAAGUUAAGUUUCAUGUCACAAUCUGCAAAAUUGUGUUUUCCGCAAAAAUACAGAAUUAGUUUUAAAUGUAUUUAUUUGAAUAUUAUUAUUAAAAAUAAAAACCAUGCAUUUUUAGUUUUUUUUUAUUUACUAGUAUUCAAAUGCUAUUCUAAUAUUAAAAACAAACAAUUUAGCAUUUAAAUAUUGCAUCUGAAUGCACAUACUAACUAUAGAAACGAACAAAAUACAAUAUCUAAAUGUUGUAUUCAAAUAAUACAUAUAGAUGCUGCAUCAAAUACAAAAAUGAACAUGGCAUAUGUAAGCGUAGAUAUUUAGUGUAAGACAUGCAAAUUAAAUUAUUAACAACUUACAUACAUGCAACACACAACGACAAUUAAUAUACUUAAGGCAAACGUAUAUAUUUAAUCUAAACCAUUCAAAGUAAAUUCCUAACAAUUUAUCAACUUCGAGCACAAAAUAUAACUGAAAAUUCAUUAGCUAAGGCCAUGGACGGAUUUAGAAAGUAUUUUAGUUGGGGACACAUGAUAAAUGGCCUAAAAUUUCAUUGAAUGGAGGGCACUUUUCAUUUUUUCUUGUUCACUAAAACUAAGAAUACUUUUCUAAUUGAGUUGAAUUACUUAAGGAUAAACAGAAGAGUUAGAAUAGGGGGCACGUGACUCCGUUAUGUAAUUAAGCUCUCCGUCCUUCCCUAGCUAAGACCGCUAAAAUUCUCAAUAGAGAUCUGUUUUUGUUAGUUUCUAUAUUCCGAUCUAGUUUCUUAGACUAUUUUUUAAUAGCCACUAUUAUUUUUAUUUUAAACCAAGAGGAGAAACCAAAAUCUAUACAUCUAAGAAUAUUGUGGUGUCAAUUCGAUACCACGGGUAUGCGUUGGUGUGGGUUAUAAUAUUUAAAAAUAAAAUAAAAAUAAAAAUAACAAAUUAAUAAUCGUCACUUUAUGAAGUGUUAGAGUACUAAACAUCAAUUUAAAAUAUUUUUUUAUUAUAGAAUUCCAAACUUAUUACUUUACUUUUCUAAAAUCCGCCAACCACUACACCGCCAUUUUUUUGUUUACAGAAAAUUUAACUUUAGGAAAAAGGAACAUAUGCUAUUAUCGUGACAGACGUAGUCAGGUUAGAAAGAACAUAUGCUAUUACGCUGACGCUGACAACAUAGUCAGAGUAGAAAGAACAUAUGCUAUCAUGUUGACAGACGUAAAGUAAGCCAUAGAGCAUCUGCAUCUCCAUCCGUCUCCAUCCGGUAUAAUUAUCUUCAAAAUAUUUUAUAAACAAAUAUUACAUUAUAUUAUAAUUAAUCAUUUAAAAAUACUAGUGGCAAUUAAAUCUUGUGAGCUUUCAAAACAAAAAUUGUUUUUAUUUUGAGAAAUAGUCACAAAUAACUCUAAAACAUCUUUUUUAUACAAACUAGCAUACAAGAUAAAAUGACCAAAACUAAUUUUAUUAAAAUGUAAAUGACUUCAACUCAAAUAAUUAAGGUAUGCAUGUAAGUUUCGAGCCCAUUCCCAAAUACCAAAUAUUAAAUAGGUAUGACUUCAGUUAAAAUAAUCUGCUUUUUUUUUAAUCGUCAAACUAAACAAACUCAUGAAUACUUUGUAAAUCAAACCGGUGGUUCAAUAUUCAUAUGGACAAAAAAAACAUCUGCUUUCUUCUAUUAUCGGCGAAGCUAUCCGUCCUUUAAUUCAUCGUUCUCGGUAUAUGAAUGAGUUCGGAGUUGUGGAAACUUUUUCUCAGGAUCUUGAUUUUUUCCAAAUAACUUGUAAAAACUGAUCAUUCCUUUGGUUCCGAAACCAUCUUCAUACAUUAUGAACAAUAUGUUGCAAAUGUGGCUUGAAACUGAUGUAAAUUUCUCAUGCAUUUCAUUUCUCAAAUAAGUGCUUCUACUUUCGAGUGAAAGGGUGAAAUGCUAACUUUGGUAUUUCUUGCUCUCAUUAAAUCAUCAAAACCCUCUAAGGUGCUAUACCAACCUUAUCCCAAUUGUUUGUCAUGGUUUUUCUAACAUCCAUCCAUGAAACACCAUCUACCCGGUAUCAAAGGUAAGUUUGUAAUCUCAACCCCCCUGAUUUGAGUAGCCAUUUGUAUAAUUGUAGUUUUCGUCUCCGUCCGGAGUAAAGAUUUUGUUUAUAUCAAUUUAAGAGUGUAUUUUGGAUCCAUGUCUAUAUUGCUAAAAACUUUGUCAUUUCUUUCCUUCCAAAUAUACCAUGAAAUACAUGCAAAUUGAUGAUCUUCCAUAUGCAGAGAAAUUCUCCAAUAAAGAUGAUCCAUAUUUGUAAAAAGCGCGUUAGUAGGAAAAAUCUUUGGAUUCGUUGGGAUCUGAGAGAGUGCCCAAACUUGAACCGUCGGUAAACAUUCAAAGAACACAUGAUUUACCGUCUCCUCAAGAUUUCCACAUCUGGCACAACAAAUGUACCCUUGAAUUCCUCUUGUGUGUAAGUUUUUCUUACCCGAUAUACAGCCUGACACUAGUUGCCAUAAGAAAUGCUUGAUUUUCGGAGGACAACACACUUUCCAGUAAAACGCCUUAAGAGCAGUAACUGUAGGUCCAUAUAAAGGUGGUGUCUUUUCUCUGACAGGAUAUACUUGUUCCACUUGAUAACCCGAUUUCAAAGAAUAUUCUCAUUGUUUGUAAAAUGUCAUCCAUCUCUGUCUGCAAACUGGGUUCGACUCAAUGUUAUAGUACUUUCUAUGAUCUUUGCAUCCUGAGGAUCCAGGAAUGAAUGAAUUACCUACAUAUUCCAUGUACGUGAUGUGGCACUGAUGAGAGAAUCCACUGUAAGGUCUGGGUAAAGGUUUGGAUUGUUGUUUGCUGGUCUCGGGCGGUUGGUUGGGAGUCAAUGAUCAUUCCAUUCUGAUAUAGAUGAUCCUGAUUCCACCUUUUUGAUUAGUCUUUUGCUAACUAGCGAUCUAGCAUAUAUAAUAUUACGCCAGUCAUAUGACGGUGAGUAUGAUCUUAUCGGUUCCAAAGGUGAUGCAUUCCUGAAAUCCGUCCCUUAAGAACUCGAGAAAAUAAAGUGUUCGGCUUCUCAAUCAAGCGCCACAAUUGCUUUGCAAGCAUAGCCGUAUUGAAACCCAUGAGGUAUUUAAACCCCAGUCCUCCUUCAUCUUUAGGAUUGCAUAAUUUGUCCCACGAUUUCUAGUGCAUGCCUUUCGUACUUUUCCGUGGACUCCACCAAAAUUAUGAUAUUGCACUAGUCAGCUUCUUUGUAACAGUCUGUGUAGACGAUAACAAGACAUACAUGAUUUGGUAAGACCGUUACCACUGACUUAUUAUAACUUCAUUUUCUCUCUUUGUAAAGAACUUAAAAGUCCAUUCAUUAACUCGGUUGUUUAGAUGCUCUUGUAUAAAGCUGAGAACUUGUGUUUUCGAUCCAUCCAGAUUCUCCGGCAUAUCCAAAUACGACUCCAUCCCACCUUUAUUAUGACUCCCUAAAAUGUCUCUCAGUUCCUGUCAAGUGGAUUCUUCUAUCUUAUGACCAAACUGAAGAAUUUUUUUUUCAAAAUUUAACAGCUGUCCCGAAACUGCCUCAUAUUCUUUUAAAUUCUUAAAAAUGGAUUGACACUCCUUUUUUGUGCCUUAUAGAAAAAUAAACUAUCAUCUGCAAAGAGUAGAUGAAAUCAUUUCCACGCAUUUAAAAUUGCUAACAUAAAUAAACCAUUUCAUUUGAGGUGAUGAACAUAUCAAAAUUAACAUAUCUAACCUCUGCUCUGAUGGAUCUAGUGAAGUUAACGUCAAAUGUGAAGCAGAUACAUAAUGACGUAUUGAAGGAGAUACACUUAAUGCUAACACUGAGUAUCUCCGUCGCCACCUCCAUGGAAGCUGUGAUAAAGAGUUGUUCAAGAAGAACGUACCGGUUGUAAGCUACGAUGAUGUUAAGCCUUAUAUCCAAUGUUUCGCUAAUGGAGAACCUUCAAAUGUCAUCUGUGGAAAACCCAUCACUAGAUUUCUCUUGAGGUAUAUAUUUUCCAGCUCAAGAAAAUAUAAGAAAAAUUUAUCUCUUUAUACUGGACCUAAUUAAGUAAUGUAGGUCCUCCUUUGCUAGUUAUAUAUAAAAUCUUUAUAUAUUUUACAGCUCAAGAAAAUAUAAGAAAAAUUUAUAUCUUUAUACUGGACCUAAUUAAGUAACGUAGCUCCUCCCUUGCUAGUUAUAUAUAAAAUCAAAUGUGAUAUGCUUGUGACAUUGUUGAUGUAGCUCUGGAACUUCCGAAGGGAAACAAAAGAUCUUCCUUGCUAACAACAAGUACUUUGAAGACAUGUCAUUUAUCUAUGCUCUACGCUCAUCCCUUUAGUAUUUUUUUUUAGAUUCAAUUAGGCUAAAACCCCAAAACAAUUGUGAUAUUAAGAGAAUACCAUGAACAGUGGUCACGUGGCUUCACUUUUGGUUUCAGCGUAUGAAGUUUACCAAUCUGCCCUUUUGCAAAAAAACUUAUAUUUCCUCCUUCCAUUGUCAUCGUCUUCUUCUGUUUCUUUUUUUUUCUAAUGAAUCUAGAAAAAAACGAAUAAUAUAUGUUCCAUUAUCAUAAUUUUCGAUCGCACCCCAUUAUUCACCAAAGAUUUCUGAUGACAAGCUAUUUUUACAUUUCAUGACGGAAGUGGAAACAAAGAUUUAAGAAAGUGGAUUUUGUUAGAUGUUAGGGUCAUGGGGGAAGAUAAGAGAGCAAAGUAACAUCUGAUCGUUCCUCCUGAGACGGAUCUGUGAAGAAGAAGUUCAGAUGGCCCCAAAAGGGUCGGUGGAAAUGAAGGGUUAUGGGGAGAUCGGAACAGAGAAAAAGAACCCUAAGGGCAUCUCCAUUCCUACUCUAUUUUUUCUUUAAAAUUGAGUAGAAGUGAAUAUAGAGUAAGGAAUGCUCUAACCCAACUUCAUAUCUCACUCCAUAAUGGAAUUCACUCUAUAAAUGGAGUAUACUAUUUUUUUUUGUUCAUCACUCCAUUAUGGAGCAGGAAAUGGAGUACGGUUGGAGUAUUUUUACUCCAUAUUCACUUUUACUCCAAAAAACGGUAACUUUUUAUGGUGGGUUUGAUGAUUUAUAUGGGGAAGUAGCAGAAACUAUACGGAUCCGUGAUUGGGAACAGAGUAGGACACCUAGAUAGCAAAGUUGGUAACUUCUCGUGGUGGGUUUUGACAAUCCAUGUCAACACCGCACUUUUUUAUUUAUUUUAUUUUUUGGAAUCAUCUAUUUUUCUCCUUAAAGAUCUGGUAAGAUAUUUGAUAUGGUUUUCUCGAUAUAUCAGCCAUAUCCUAGGGGUAUGAUAGUCUUUAAAAUAAAUGUACAGUUAAUUUCUAACAGUGUAAGUUGGUAUAUGGCUAAAUACGAAGAACUUCUAGUGUAUAAGAUGCAAAUAAACAUUAUUUAACAUAACUGAUUAUGAAAUAUAUCAUUCAUCAAUAAAUGAUUUAAAUUAAUAUAUUUAGUUUUCUGAUACUAAUUAAGUGAUGCAAUACAACCAUUUCUUGUAGUGAGAUUUUGGUUGGGAAUGAUUUGAAUUUCAAGAAAUUUUAAGCAUAUAUGAAUUUUAAAAUAUUUUAAACGGAUUAAUCGAACCUGAGUAGAAGCCACUAAGAUCUUAAAUGAACCCAAAUUAAAAUUUAUAAAUAUUCAAAUCAAGUUAAAAUCUUUAACCCAAAAAUCCAAAAUACAAAUAUAUCCGAAUCAAACCAUGGCUACUCGCCCGGUGCCCACCCCUAUUCUAAAGUUCUCAAAAUAUCGUUACUUUACAACUUGGUCGCUUGGUCCAAAUAUUAUCCAUGAAAACAAAGCAUUGGUGUCACUAAUAUAUUUGAAAAUUGACGAGAUAAUUACACAACUUUAAUCUGGUUUCCUCUAGGAAAAUGUAAGUCGAAUCGGGGACAAAACUAGUUCAAUGUUCAUACAAAUUAUUACAAAAUAUAGUACUCGUAUUCAGUGCCGGUUCGGACUAAUUUGACGCCUAAAGCGCACCCAAAAUAUUAUGCCCCAUUUAUAUAACUAAUUUACUGUUUUUUAAUAUAUAAUCAACAUACAUAUUAUUAACCGCCGCACAAAUGGUUUCACCGACACACAGAGAGAGAAGCCAAACACCUCCGAUAGACUGAGCCACGUCUGUUCUAUCAUGUAGAGCGAAGUCCAAAGGAAAAGGGAUGGUGGGAGACCUCCAUACGAACCGGCACCGGAACCCUGUCGCAAAGAUAAAACCAGAUUUGGGAGAGAAAGGUUGAGCGCGUGGAUCACACUGCCUCUCAAAGGCAAAAUUCCGUUUCAUUAAUGUUAUAUAAGAGAUUGAUGCUGUAUUUAUAAGAGAAAUUAAUUCCAAUGGUAAAAUUGUGAAGAUAUCUCAAAAAGUAAAUAAAUGAAAAAGAAUGAAAGAUAAUAUUUUUUGUUUGUAGAAUAUAUCUAAUGAGAACUUCUGAGAUAUUCUCUGAAAAAAAAAAUUGAACUAUGAGUCAACAUAUAAUUGAUUUGCAUCGUUUUAUAUAAAAUAAAAACUAAUUAUGAUGUUAUUAAUAGCUAGAUCAUAUUAAUUUUUGUUGGUUUCAGAAAUAGAAGAAGAGCAUGAACCCAAAAAAUUCAAAACGUCUGGAUUGAAGAUUCAAACAGUUAGUCUAAUGUUGAUUAAUCAUCUCAAAACUCCAUUGUUGGUAUCUAGAAUCUCCAUUGUUGGUAUCUAGAAUCGCCGAUUCGCCGUAGAAGAGACGAACUCCAAUUUCUCCGUCAUUAGACUUAGGGUUUCCUAUAACAGGCUGUUGGGCUGCAUAAACCAUAAAAAAUUAUCAGCCCAAAACACAUAGAUGUAAGCUUAACAAUAAAAGCCUAUAUAAUUUCAAAAUAAAUGAAGUGAUGCGUUUUACAGGCCGGACACGUGUCAUCACCGUAUAACUCAACUUUCUGACCUGUCUGCUGACGUGGCGCAACAGGAGAGAAACAAACAUUUUAUAUAUAUAAAUGACAGUGACAAUAUAACAUCAAUUUAUUUAAAAAAAUUAAAGAUAGAUUUCACUAUGAAUAAAAAAAAACUUUACAAUAUAUUUUUAUACUUAUAUAAAAAUUAUAUAUAGUAAUUAUUAAUUUAUUAUCUUACCGAAUUAUGUUAUAUUAUAUAUUGGCCUAACCUAGGAACUGUAAAAUUAUUAAUUUAUCAUGUUUAUUAAUUUAUCGAGUAUUAAUUUAUACACUUCUUACUAUAUGUAUUUUUGAAUUAUAAAUAACUGAAUAAGUAUUUGGGUAUCUAAAAUAAGAAUUAGAGCCAAAUCCAAAUUUAAAACAAGUUUAACCGGUUGUGAAAGGUGUUACUAUAUUUGCACUGAAUCCGAAACAACCAUAUCCAAAUUGAGUUUUAAAAAGGGAGAAUGUGUGGGAUAUACCCAAUUAAAGUCCAAAUUAGCUUAAUGCCCAUAAUUAUGGAUAACCCAAAAAUGAGUAACUUUUUGACACUGUGCGGACGAAAAUACCAUCAUGCUUUAUCGAAAACAAGUAACUCUAAAUUUAUCAGCUAAAUAUUUACAUACCAGGUAACAAUCUACAUACCAACUAACAUAUCAACUAAUAAUUUCAAUAUCAUCUAACAAUCUAUAUACAAACAAAUGUAUCGACUAAUAAAUCAUAUAUCAGUUAAUGAAACUAUUAACAAUUAAUUAGUUAUCUAUCAAAUAGCCUCAAAUCUAUUUGUCUAAUACUUGUAUCGAUUAAGAAUCCAUUAAAAUCUAAAUAAUAGCAGGUAAGUAAUAAAUUACCUAACAACAUAUAUAU